rnacentral:tRNA from 1 species
UUGAUAGAAACCAAAAAGAGGUAUAUCACUGUUAAUGAUAAAAUUGAAUUAUUUUCCUAUCAAG